rnacentral:rRNA from 1 species
AUGAACGCUGGCGGCGUGCCUAAUACAUGCAAGUCGAGCGAACAGACGAGGAGCUUGCUCCUCUGACGUUAGCGGCGGACGGGUGAGUAACACGUGGAUAACCUACCUAUAAGACUGGGAUAACUUCGGGAAACCGGAGCUAAUACCGGAUAAUAUAUUGAACCGCAUGGUUCAAUAGUGAAAGACGGUUUUGCUGUCACUUAUAGACGGAUCCGCGCCGCAUUAGCUAGUUGGUAAGGUAACGGCUUACCAAGGCAACGAUGCGUAGCCGACCUGAGAGGGUGAUCGGCCACACUGGAACUGAGACACGGUCCAGACUCCUACGGGAGGCAGCAGUAGGGAAUCUUCCGCAAAGGGCGAAAGCCUGACGGAGCAACGCCGCGUGAGUGAUGAAGGUCUUCGGAUCGUAAAACUCUGUUAUUAGGGAAGAACAAAUGUGUAAGUAACUAUGCACGUCUUGACGGUACCUAAUCAGAAAGCCACGGCUAACUACGUG